rnacentral:rRNA from 1 species
CCUACGGGGGGCAGCAGUGGGGAAUAUUGGACAAUGGGGGCAACCCUGAUCCAGCCAUGCCGCGUGUGUGAAGAAGGCCCUCGGGUUGUAAAGCACUUUCAGUGAGGAAGAACGCCUUGUGGUUAAUACCCAUCAGGAAAGACAUCACUCACAGAAGAAGCACCGGCUAACUCCGUGCCAGCAGCCGCGGUAAUACGGAGGGUGCGAGCGUUAAUCGGAAUUACUGGGCGUAAAGCGCGCGUAGGUGGCUUGAUAAGCCGGUUGUGAAAGCCCCGGGCUCAACCUGGGAACGGCAUCCGGAACUGUCAAGCUAGAGUGCAGGAGAGGAAGGUAGAAUUCCCGGUGUAGCGGUGAAAUGCGUAGAGAUCGGGAGGAAUACCAGUGGCGAAGGCGGCCUUCUGGACUGACACUGACACUGAGGUGCGAAAGCGUGGGUAGCAAACAGGAUUAGAUACCCGAGUAGUC